ensembl:miRNA
GAGGUGGGAGGAUUGCUUGAGCACAGAAGGGUGAGGCUGCAGUGAGCUGUGAUCAUACCACUGUGCUCCAGCCUGAGUGACAGAGCAAGACCUUGUCUC